UAAACCAGUUUUCAAUUAAAAGUUUCCCGUCCUUAUAUGUUGGUGAUCAUAUAUUGCGUUUGUGAGAAUCAUGAUAGUUUGCACUACCUUUGGCUAUAGCUUUCCAUAUAGAAUACGUAACACAACCAAAAGAAAGCUGUAAAUUUGAUGACAUGUAACAUGGUUAGAUUAGAUGUAUCCAUAUAUCUAGAAUGUGCACAACUUAAUAAUUCAUAUUUGUGUUCGUCGGUCAUCAAUCUUAAAUUUUAUACAUAAAAUACAGUGUAGAGUGAAAUAGAUACCUGAAUGAUUCCCUUGCUAUGGGUGAGACCAUGCAUUGAUUUAUGCCUCUCUCACCACUUUCUAAGUCUUCCCUUCUCUUAAUAACUUCCUCAUCUUGGUAGAAUUGAUAAUCUUGAUACUUAGGAAGCACUAGGAGUCACAAUAUUAAAUCUAUUAGCAUAAAAUUGUGACGUAUAUAGUUUAAAUUUCUGAACAUUAACUUUUUGGUUUAAUUAUAGUCAUGCUAAUUGUGAAGUGCAACGGUUUACAAAGUUUCUGAUAAAAAACUUACCAAAAUUUCUUUAAUUCUCCUUUUGUUCUUCAACCAUCUAGCAUUUCUAUUUUUUGUGCAAUAUUUGAAAUUUUCUGCACACCUCAUUGUUCUUAUCUUUCUCCCAAUCAUUGCUGCAAAGAAAGACAUCAAAACUACUGCUUUUGAUAAUUCUCAAUGACACAAUGGAUCUUUUUAUGGUGCUGAUAACUCUAGUUAUAAUAGAACUUACUAUCAGGAGUCAAUAUAUGCUCAAGCGCCGCAUGAAAUUUCUAGUGUUCAAUAUUUUGAAAACUAUCAACAGCAAUUUGAUCCUAGAUAUGGAAGAGGAUAUGGUGUUCCUACACCACACCAGCAAUCUCAACAGCCUAAUUUUAUUUGUUCCACCACAGAUUGCUCAGAUUGUGAGGGAGACCAAAUGUUAUUGAAUGCAUUUUUGACUUCUUUGGUACCACUAUCUUUUGUCAAAUUUGGUUUGAAGCAUUAGAAGAUUUCAUAGAGUGAUCAUUGCCUCGGCAUUUACA